GAUUAAAAUCAAAUUCUAUUCCAUCUAUUUUUCCACGUGCCCAAGAACAAACAAUAGAAAUAUUACCAGCAACGCCAGAAAUUCCAUUGCUAAGUACAGAUGUGAUCAAUGAUGAUCAAUGCCUAAUUGAAUCGGAAUAUAUCGAAGCUAGAGAAAUAACGACAGAAAUGUCUCCAAGUAGUCAAGAUCUUGAUCCAAAAAGAAUGAACAAAUCUAAAAAUAACUUAACACUAACAAGAUAUUUUACAUUUGAAUUUCCCGCUUUUUGGGCAAAAGGCGGAGCUAAUAUCGUUAGAGAUGUCCAUUACAUCUGUUUAACAUUGCUUCAAUGGAAAA